rnacentral:pre_miRNA from 1 species
AAUCUACUCCCUCCGUUCGGAAUUACUCGUCCAAGAAAUGAAUGUAUCUAGAUGUAUUUUAGUUGUAGAUACAUCCAUUUUUAUCUAUUUUUGUGACAAGUAAUUCCGAACGGAGGGAGUAAUAC